UACGUAGGGUGCGAGCGUUAAUCGGAAUUACUGGGCGUAAAGCGUGCGCAGGCGGCUUUGCAAGACAGAUGUGAAAUCCCCGGGCUCAACCUGGGAACUGCAUUUGUGACUGCAAGGCUAGAGUACGGCAGAGGGGGAUGGAAUUCCGCGUAUAGCAGUGAAAUGCGUAGAUAUGCGGAGGAACACCAAUGGCGAAGGCAAUCCCCUGGGCCUGUACUGACGCUCAUGCACGAAAGCGUGGGGAGCAAACAGG
rnacentral:rRNA from 1 species